AAUUUUGCUGCCAAUUUUUGUGCUGUUCAAAAGUACAUGCACAUUUCAUGAAAGUACAUUUGUUGAUCUUUUCGUCAUUCAACCUUAUUUAUAACUUCACUAUCAGUUUGAAUAUCAAAUUUUAGAAAUUGGGACAUAUAUUAAACAAACAAUGUUAGGUAAACUCAUAUAAAUUGUGUGGCACAAUUUUCCUGCCAAUUGUUGGACACUCAAUUUUGAUUUGUCUUUUUCUUUAAUUAUUUUUUCUAUGCUUGCUUCUCAGUUCUAAAAAAAAAAUUGAAAUAAAUCAGAAAGAGUUAGCACGACCAUCAUUACGUUGCGGACUGUUUCAACCGAUUUGAAAUAUGACUCUACAGCGUGGCGACUCUGCUAGAGAAAGUACAUGCACAUUUUAUGGAAGUGCAUUUGUUGAUCUUCUCGUCAUCCAACUUUAUUUAUAACUUUACUAUCAUCCAACUUGAUUUAUCUUUUAUAUUGUUAUAUGUUAGUGAAUUUAUCUAUUCCCUAGAGUAAACCAUCAUGGUCUCAAAAGUACUGUGAAAUGUCGUCGAUUCAGACGUUUUUCCGUCAAGUUUCUGUCUCAACUCUCUUCUCUUCUCAUUCAUAAACCCCUAGCUAUCGUACAGUUUCCAUCAAAUUCACCAUCUUAUGUUGUUCAGCGACGUCUCCUGUGACUAUCGUUAACGAUAAUGUGGAUAGAACUCGAACUCGGGUUGCCUAGCAAAGGCUUCUCUCGAUCUUUUCAAGGUAUACAAACUCCUUCGUAGAUUUGCUGAAUUUAUCCUCUUAUUAUGACGAUGAAAUGCUUAAUUUAACUUGUCUAUUUCCUUGCUGGUGAAUUACUGAAUUGUUAGCUAUCAGUUGGGCAGGUGAAUUGCAGAAAUUCCAUAGGUCUAUCGCGAUUCUGCUUUAUCACUUAGUAUCUAUUUUAUAUUUGCUAUUCAAUACUAUUUAUUACAUAAUAUAUUUUUCAAAAUAUUAAAUUUAUUAUAGAUUCAAAAGAUAAUAAAAUUAGUUUUGAAUUAUAUUUUUGAAACAUAGAACUUAAAUUUCAGAUAAACACCUGAUUUAUUUGGUUACAUGAAAAAAAUUCUAUCACUGUUGUACAUAUCCAAUCUGGAUGUUUGGUUUCAACGGCCAAAAAAUAUUGUGCGGAAGUUGAUAUCAUGAGAUUUAGACUUUGACAUUAUUGAUCUCGACGCAGUUUGUGAAUAUAAGCAGGUAUGAACUGAGUGUUGUAGACACGUGAUUUUGAUCCUCCCCGAAUUCAAUAUAUAUAUUUUUCGAUAUUAAAUAUUUAUAUUUGAUCUAAUAUUAUUUAUAUUAUUAAAUUUAAAAAAAAAAUAUGUUUCUUUUUAAAUAAAUAAGUUAGUAGUUUUAGUACUAUCUUAAUUAUAUUUAUUUUUGGCUAUUUUUAAAAUUUUAUUGUAUUUUCUUAAAUAUAAAACUAAAUAGUUAUUAUUAUAUUAUUUUUAUUGUUAUUAUUAUUUUAUUUAUUUAUUUAUUAUUAUUAUCUUCUUUUAUUAAAAUAAUAAUAAUAAUAAUUUAAAUUUUAAAAAUCCUAUCCUAUCCUAUCCUAACCUACCCCAACCACCCCCUAUUUUUCCUCCAACUCCCUCAACCUCCGACAUCACACUCCUAUAUAUACACACACUACAACACACCGGCAAGAGAUAUACACAGAGGAGAAAAAUAUACAACAUUUGGGGGAGUAACAGUGAACAACAUUUGAAAGGAAAUAGAGAUUAAAAAAGACCAAAAAAUUAAGAAAGGAGAAAAUUUAGAAAAGGAAAAGAAGGCAGAAAGUGAAACAAAAAAAAGGGAAAGAAAAAAAAAGAUUUAGAGUUCGGAUUCCGUUUGAGUUUUUCGGUGAAAGCGUUCUUGUAUCUAUUCUACUACACAGGUUUCUAUUUGAUUCGUUUAUUCAUAUUUUUUUAAAAGUUAUAUAUCAAAGCAUGAAUGUUGUUUAAAUGUUUCAUAUAUUAUUUAGCCUUUAUUGUUGAUCAAUUAUGUGAGUGUUCUUUUUAUUAUUAUUUUAUUUUAUUGUUAACUCUAAAAACCUAUAUUAAUUUCUUCGUACAUGAUUCAAUAUGGGUAAAAUAUGGUACAUCCUUAAUUAGUUUUUAUGAUAUUUGUUGGUUGGUACGUCAAUUUGGUUCCAUGCAUGUUGUCGUUGGGUGUAAAAAAUAAGAAAUAUAUAUUUUUCAUUUUUAUUACACAGAUUAUUAUUAGUAGUAAGAGUGAGUGAAAAUAUAAUUAUUGAAUAAACUUUGGUUUGAUUUUUUUUAGUAGAUCAUUAAUAAUGCAUAAUUAUGUCUUCUUGGUCAAAAGGAAUUCGGUUCCACUCACUGAUAUGAUUAGUUUAAUGAGUUAUGUUUUUAAAAACAAAUAUAAUACUAAAUUUCUUUUACAAAAAAAAAUGCAACAUUAAUUGAAUAGUAAAGUUAAUUUUAAUUAAAAAAUCAAUAAUAUAAUAUUCAAAUUAGAAAGGUUCAAAAGUGUGAAAUAUAUCAUAUUAUUGUUUGUUUGGUUUGAUUUUAUUUUGUGGGACAAAUUAUUCAAGAAUUUGGUUUCUCUUUAGUUAAUGUUCUGGUCAUAUGUUUGAUUUUCUUUUUGGUUUAAUAUUGAAUUAUGUUUGAAUCUGUCUUGGUCACAUAUCCAGUUUAUCCCUUGAUUAUUAUUAAAUUAAUCUUCAAUUUAUAGUACUGUUACUCUUUUAAAGUUGUUCGUUGUUAGUUCACUUCUUGAAAAGCUGUUUAAUAUGCACCAGUUAUUGGCAUUAGACUUACACACUUAAAGGCCAAAUCGGUUAAUUUCGUGAGUAAAAUAAAAAGGAGUUGUGAAUUAAUUCAAGAUUUAUUGCAAAUUUGAAAAAGAAUAAAAUUGAAAGUAGGUAAGGAAAACUAUAGCGAGUUUACAAGAGACGAACCAAUGACUUUAACGCUAGAUGAAGUUUAGGCACGCUUAAAAUGUUCGUCUCAAUUAAGAAUGUGGCGUACGCAUCUUUUCGAGACAUUUAAAAAUACAAGAAUGUAAAAAAUACACCUUGGUAAAUAUUUUCUAAAAUUAACUUGACAGAUAUUUUUCAAUUUUCACCGAUUUAUUUAAUAUGAAAUAAUAGACGAGACUUUAGAUAUAUAAAAUGAGCAAUUUUAGGCCUUAAUGUAAUUUAUCAAAAUAGUUUAAGACAAGAUAAGUUAAUAAAAGCGACCGUGUUAGAACCACGGGACUCGAGGGGUGCCUCACACCUUCCCCUCGGUGAACAAAAUUCCUUACCCGAUUUUCUGUUCUCGUUAAAAAGGAGUUGUGAAUUAAUUCAAGAUUUAUUGCAAAUUUGAAAAAGAAUAAAAUUGAAAGUAGGUAAGGAAAACUAUAGCGAGUUUACAAGAGACGAACCAAUGACUUUAACGCUAGAUGAAGUUUAGGCACGCUUAAAAUGUUCGUCUCAAUUAAGAAUGUGGCGUACGCAUCUUUUCGAGACAUUUAAAAAUACAAGAAUGUAAAAAAUACACCUUGGUAAAUAUUUUCUAAAAUUAACUUGACAGAUAUUUUUCAAUUUUCACCGAUUUAUUUAAUAUGAAAUAAUAGACGAGACUUUAGAUAUAUAAAAUGAGCAAUUUUAGGCCUUAAUGUAAUUUAUCAAAAUAGUUUAAGACAAGAUAAGUUAAUAAAAGCGACCGUGUUAGAACCACGGGACUCGAGGGGUGCCUCACACCUUCCCCUCGGUGAACAAAAUUCCUUACCCGAUUUUCUGUUCUCGUAGACCAACAAAGAGUCAUUUCCUUUUGAUUAGGGAUUCAAAAAGGUGACUUGGAACACCAUAACUCAAUUUCAAGUGGCGACUCUAUUAAUAAACUAAUCCCUAUUCAAUACCGUCACUUUAAUUGGAAAAAAUCCUUCGACCUCGAUCUUUUUCGAGCGAAAAAGGGGUGUAACAUCUCUGGCGACUCUGCUGGGGAAUAAUAAGAAUUCGAGCUUUUGAUAUUGAUAUUACCUGCUUUAAUUAUUUUUGAUAUUGUGUUUAUUGGCCUUAUGUGCUACUUGUUGCUCAUUUACUGCUUUGAUAUUAUCUUAACUAUAUUAAAUAUUGUCUUCUCUCGCGUACCCCCUUUGAGUCUCUGAAAUAGGAUAGAAGGAAUGUAGCAUAUGUGUCCCACCUUCUUUUUGAGAUAGUUGGAGUGUGAAGGCACCUGGUGAAGGAUAUAUUUACAUAUGUUAGGCGGGGUUCGGAUCGGCAAUGAAGGCGGUGUGGCCUGCUACUGACCAAGUUGUCCCUCCCCGGUUUGAGUAUCCGCUCGAGUAAGCCAGUCUAGAUACCUAUCCCUAUCAGGCUUAAACUUAGAAGAACUGAAAACUCAGAAUCUGGUUAUCCCUAUUAGCGGGACUCGGCACAGGGUCUGGGUCUGUCUAGGACAGGUGACCUACUUUAUAAAGACCAACAUGUGCAUUCUACGUUCAUGCACUUUGACAUUUGUUUGGAAGGUUGUUUGUUUGUUGACCGGCUUUAGGCUACUUUAAAAUGCAAGAGAUUAUAUUAUCCUCAAAUUUAGUGAAUCAUUUUUCAAAAGAAAAAUUUUAUCUUUAAAAAAGCAAUAAAAAAUUUUUGUAACAUAAUUUUACAAUCUUUAUGAACUACGAGGGUCUGAUUCUCACUCUUUAGUGGGAUACGUAGGAAGUCCUUCUCAGAAUACGACCCUAUCUUUUGAAAAAUUAUUCAUAAAUUUAUUGGGGAANNNNNNNNNNNNNNNNNNNNNNNNNNNNNNNNNNNNNNNNNNNNNNNNNNNNNNNNNNNNNNNNNNNNNNNNNNNNNNNNNNNNNNNNNNNNNNNNNNNNNNNNNNNNNNNNNNNNNNNNNNNNNNNNNNNNNNNNNNNNNNNNNNNNNNNNNNNNNNNNNNNNNNNNNNNNNNNNNNNNNNNNNNNNNNNNNNNNNNNNNNNNNNNNNNNNNNNNNNNNNNNNNNNNNNNNNNNNNNNNNNNNNNNNNNNNNNNNNNNNNNNNNNNNNNNNNNNNNNNNNNNNNNNNNNNNNNNNNNNNNNNNNNNNNNNNNNNNNNNNNNNNNNNNNNNNNNNNNNNNNNNNNNNNNNNNNNNNNNNNNNNNNNNNNNNNNNNNNNUGAUUCUCAUUUUAUUGAGAUACGUAGGCAGUCCUUUAUGGAUUCGGUGAUUUUAAUGAAAAAAUAUAUAUUUGUGUUUCCUUCUAAACAAAUAAAGAAGAGAGUUUUUGAUUUAUAUAUAAAAUAAAUUAAUUUAUUUUUGAAAAUAAAAUGUGUUUUAUAUUAUUAAUAAAUUCAAAAAUAAAAAUAUUUCUCAUUUCUCACAUUAAAAUAAAAAUGUGUUUCUUCAUAUUUACAGCUUUCCGAACUACGCAAGAUCUGAUUCAUGUCCUGGCAUGAUAUGUAGGCAACCCUCUAAAGGGUUCGAUCAUAAUUUUUUGAAAAAAUACACCUAGAAAAGUCAGGAUGAGACACAAAGCCUUCCAUGAUAGGUUGGGAAAUGCAUAUAGAAGCAUGACAUACAACGUGAUAUUAUAAUGUGUUAAAAAUAUAACACUCACCCAUUUGCUACUUGGUCUCAGAAAGAUAAAGUAGUUGGUGGUUGGUUUGUGGUUUAAACUGGCAUCACAUCUGUACAACACUAGAUACAAAGAAAAGAGAAAAAUGACCUACAAAGAGGGUGUAGGAUCUGACAGCGAGGAGGAGCAAAAUCAAUUGAUUUCACAAGAAUUAGUAUCAAUGGAAGAGAUUAAAUUUUUGAAACAACAAAUGUCGAAAAUGUACCAAUUUUGGUUAAAUGGACAAGCCCCGCCUUCCUCAAUUCCUGGACUUGCGAAUAUGUAUGAUCCAAAUCCUGCUCAAGCUCAAAAUAGCGAUCCAUUUUAUCCGCCUGGAUUCAGCCCAUAUGCUAAUGUGUCUGGCGUUGCUGGUACUUCUACCAUGCGCCCACCAAAUUUGUCUGUCAUAAAUAACCCACUUUUCACUUCUGUAGCACCAGCUACUGCGGGUCUUCAAUCGACAGUACAAAAGAAUAUGGGUGAACCAAGUCAUGAUGAAUUGUAUCCCCCUGAAAUGAUUUUCAAAACCCUAAAUCCAUAUUAUCAUGCUCAUCAACAAGAUUCUCCUAUUGUGAUUGAGAAGAUUGUUAAAAGUGAAGAAUGGGAAGAGAUGGCCAGGAAAGUGAGAAGUUUAGAGCAAAGUAUGAGAAAUAUGCAAGAAUUAGGAGGACCAAAAAGUUUUUCAUACAAAGAUUUAUGUAUGUUUCCCGACGUUCAUUUGCCGCUAGGGUUCAAAAUGUCAAAGUUUGAUAAGUAUGAAGGAAACGGUGAUCCGAUGGCACACUUGAGGCGUUAUUGUAACCAAUUAAGAGGUGCUGGAGGUAAAGAAGAAUUACUCAUGGCUUAUUUUUGGUGAGAGCCUUACAAAUCUAACCUCAGAGUGGUUUGUAGAUCAAGACAUCGACAAAUGGAGUAGUUGGAAUGACUUGGCUAAGGAAUUCAUUCAACAAUUUAAGUACAAUGUCGAGCUGAUUCCUGAUGAGAAAUCCCUAACUAAUAUCAAGAAACAGAACAAUGAAAAUUUCAGGGAGUAUGCAAUUAGAUGGCGUGAACAAGCUGCUAGGGUGAGACCACCAAUGAAAGAAAGCAAGAUAGUGGAGGUGUUUAUUCAAGCACAGGUUGAAACAUAUUAUCAACACUUGUUACCUGCAUUAGGCAAACCAUUUAUUGAGGUCCUCAAAAUAGGAGAGAUGAUAGAGGAUGGAAUUAAAUCCGGUCGCAUUGUGAGUUUUGCAACAUUAAAAGCAACUACUCAAGUAAUUCAAAAGGGAAGUGUUGGAGAGAAAAAGAAUGAGGAAGAUGCAUCUACUAUUGCAGUUGGACCACGGGAACGGUCAAGAAGACCACGUCGUCAUCGUUCUCAGGCUCAAGACCAAGUUCAUGCCCAAGCUCCACAUAAUCACUCCCAAAGUCCAUUAUACUCCAGUCCUCCACCUCCAUAUCCAGUGUAUAAUGCAGAACCAUAUGUUCAACCCCUAUCUUACCUACAAUGGCACACACCAACUCCUCAAAGUCAUCCUCUAAUUCCACAAAUAUACCAAAACCUUUCUAAGCCUGAUUUUUUAUCCAAGCCAAAUAAUGAAAUAAGGCAGAAGUCGAGAGAUAGCUUCACACCAAUUGGAGAGUCAUAUGCCAGUUUAUUUCAAAGAUUGGAACAGGAGGGCAUGAUUACUCCUCUCCUUAGGCACACUCUUAAUCUCCGUUCAAGAAAUUUUGAUCCUAAUGCACGGUGUGUAUAUCAUUUUGAUGCUCAGGGUCAUAGUAUUGAAGAUUGUCGAGAUUUAAAAAGAGAAAUUGAAAAGAUAAUUCAAGAUAAAUCAAUUAUGGUGCAGAAUAUGGACAGUGAGGAAAGCUCUAGUCAUGAUGGUAUGCAAAUUGGAGGCUAAGAUGUCAAGCUUAACAAUUGAGAAGUCACCCAUCUCCCUGUUAGGAUAGAUGUUUGGUAGUUAAUAUUGUUAUUUUUUCUGUUAUCUGAAUUAUUUCAGGGUUGUAGUUCGGGAUCUAUCUUGUUUUGUACCUCUGUUGUUUAUGUUCAAACCCUUCUAUCUUUUAUUUUCUACUAAAUAGAACAGUUUUUUUCUCCUUUAUGUUUUAAAUAUGUGUUGUUUUUUUUUUUGUUUCUUUACACAAUACAUUUUAUGUUGGUUCUAGUAAUAUGACAUACCUGUGAAAUUUCAGUCAGAUCUUGAAAUCAAAGGGCUAAAGUUAGAAAAAAAUUGAGAAAAUAGGUAGAGUGCGGAUACAUUUGGUGACAAGUUAAAGCCUUUUCUGAAAAUUAAGGCAAUUAUUUUGAGAAUUAUGAGAAUCACUUGGUCAUCAAUUGAAAGACAUGUCUCAAUUAGGUCAAAUAAUGGAUGCGAGGUCCUUAUUCAAGAGAAACAGAAAGAUAAUCAGCACCACGAAAGCUUGGAUCAUUUGAUGUGAGGGAUGUACUACAAAGGUGGAAUAGUAUGCUGAGCAAGUGUAAAAGAAGAAGUGGCAAACAUACUCAGUUAAAGUUAGUGUUGUUAAAGUAUCACAUAUGUUCUUCAUCUCCCACUUUCAUAUUGCAUGUUAUGUACUUGCAUUUUCAAGGAUUGAUAUGACGAAGGCAUUUCAUUCUUCUAUCCAAAUGUUGUUAUCCCUUUUGAUCUUUUGUUUUAUUUCUUUUAUAUCACUCUUUUGGAAUCAAAAUAGAGUGAAAAAAAUUAUAAAAAAAAAAGUGUCAAGAAAAAGAAUAGUCAGAAAAGUGUAAGAAAAAAUGAAGUCGGGAAAAAUCUUUCUCAAAAAAAAAGAAGAAAAAGAGAGAAGAGUCAAGAAAAAAACAAAGAGAAAGAAAAUCAAGCAGAAGAAUAAGUUGUCUGAACUACGUUUGACCUGAUUCUUGCUAUGACAAGAUACGUAGGCAACCCUACUCUGGGGUUCGGUCCAACCAAAAGAAAAUUUAAAUUACCCAGAAUGAGAUAAAACUGGGGCAAAGUUUAUUUCCUUAAAAGAGUCGAUUCCAAAAGUUGUAUGUUAUACCUAAUAUUAUGUAAAUUUUUGAGGCUCACGCCUGUAGACAAGUAAUUUCGUCCUUCCCCGAUAUUGUUUUAUCCAUUUUUACCUUAUCCUACCCAUGUAAUUACAUCCCACAAAAAUACAAAAAAUAACUCUCAACAAAAUCCCUAACAAACUUUUAUUCUUUUUAAUAUCGUAACAACACACCCAAUUUAAAAUAGACACCUAACCCUUAUCCCUUCAAUUAAAA
rnacentral:lncRNA from 1 species